UUGAAUAUUACAACCCCACAAGAAAUUCGGAGCGCCCUUUUCUUGUGUUGAGCCACUGGUUUUAUUUGGCCAUGCUUGUUUCUUGCCAUUUCUAAAGGGCUAGCUUAGCUGCUUACAUUUCUUCUGUUUUGCUUUUGCUUCAUUGUUUUUCAUUACAUGUUAAAAAGGGUUUUGUGGGGUUGAUUUGUUUACCAAUCUUUAUUUUGGCUUUGGACCCAUUUUGAUACCCCAAAUCUCUUCUUUAAUCCCUCUUUCUUUUCUUUAAUACAUAUAUGUGUUAUGUGUUUGUGUGUGUACCACUUGAUCCUCAUUUUCUCCUCCACUGUUCCAUCAUUCUAAUUUCUGGCUUUGAUCAGAUUGAGGGCUCACUUGCAAUUAAUCAACUGCAUGGAGACACACACACACACACACGCGCGCAUAUACGUAUAUAUGCCUGGCUCCCUGUAUGCCAUCUGCAGAGCUCACCGGAAAAAUCGAUGGCCCUCCGUGGAUGGCGUAUGAGGAGCCAAGCAUAUCCACACAUCGUAUAUAUGUGUUUAAUUUUCUUAAUUUCUUACAACCUCAAUUUCUCCUAAAUUAAUUUUUCUUGAUCGAAUUGCCAGAGAUGAGGGGUUUCACGUGGAACAAAGAGGGGCGCUGUUUCAAUUAUUCGCUGUGCUCAUCUUCCGAUAAGCAUCCACGCUCUGUAUAAACCGACAACAUGAAAGUUACAACCUAUCUAGCUAGAUACUACAUGCAACAAUGUAAUAUCAAGAUUGGAGGCAUGACGGUGAGGUCAAAAAAGGACAUAUAUUGGGGUUCUGGCAUCAAGAGAAGGGACCACCCCCACCCCUUCCUGGAGAUCUCCUGAAACCAAUUGGAUUUUGGGCUCUCUCUCUCUCUCUCUCUCCAUGAACAUGCAUGUGUGUGUGUAUACUUACACAGACACACACAGAGCCCAUCAGGAAACCAGUGUAGUAUGCAGUAUGGAGAACAUUCCCCCUGCAUAUAUCAGCUUUGUCUUAAAAGGAGGAAAAGAAAAAGGGAAAAGAAAAUUAUUGAAAAGAAAAAAGGAAAAAAGAGGAAGAAGAAGAAGAAAGGAAAUAGUAAGAGAGAAGAGCAUAUAUGAAUAUGAGUAUAUCACCUUUCUUUUUGCAUUGUUCAGACUGUACUUAAAAGCAGAUUCUAUUCUCCACCCUCUCAAAGAUUUAUAAAUAUAUAAUAUAAUACCUCAUCUUCUGACUCCACAACUUUAAAUUAAUUAAUUAGGUAAAUCAUUUAUACAUGUAUGUGCAUAUAUUGUAGUAAUAAAGAAUAAUUGAAGCUUGUCUUAUAUAUUUAUAAGUUGGAGUACUAGUGUUAGAAGUAUUUUAUGUUGUACAUUAUUAUUAGCUAGUAGGUAGUCCUUGAGAUUGGUACUAGGCUAGAAGGUGUAAGUUGUAAUGAUGUAUCCACAUGUACAUGUGUUGUUGUAGUACAAGACAUUCAUUAUUAACAUAUGUACCUAUUCUUGUGAAAGAAUUUGUAGCAUCAAC